rnacentral:rRNA from 1 species
UUGAUCCUGGCUCAGGAUGAACGCUAGCGGGAGGCUUAACACAUGCAAGUCGAGGGGCAGCACGAUCCCGAGUAAUCGGGAUUGGUGGCGACCGGCGCACGGGUGAGUAACGCGUAUGCAACCUUCCUUUUACAGGAGGAUAGCUUCCGGAAACGGAAAUUAAUACUCCAUACAAUUACGAAGUGGCAUCACUUUCAAAUUAAAGCUACGGCGGUAAAAGAUGGGCAUGCGUAACAUUAGCUAGUUGGUGAGGUAAGGGCUCACCAAGGCUACGAUGUUUAGGGGUCCUGAGAGGGUUAUCCCCCACACUGGUACUGAGACACGGACCAGACUCCUACGGGAGGCAGCAGUGAGGAAUAUUGGUCAAUGGGCGCAAGCCUGAACCAGCCAUCCCGCGUGCAGGAAGACGGCCCUAUGGGUUGUAAACUGCUUUUCUGAGGGAAGAAUAAUCCCGAGUUACUCGGGAGACGACGGUACCUCAGGAAUAAGCAUCGGCUAACUCCGUGCCAGCAGCCGCGGUAAUACGGAGGAUGCAAGCGUUAUCCGGAUUCAUUGGGUUUAAAGGGUGCGUAGGCGGACUGGUAAGUCAGUGGUGAAAUCCUGCAGCUUAACUGUGGAAUUGCCAUUGAAACUGUCAGUCUUGAGUCAGGUUGAGGUAGGCGGAAUGUGUAAUGUAGCGGUGAAAUGCAUAGAUAUUACACAGAACACCGAUUGCGUAGGCAGCUUACUGGACCUGCACUGACGCUGAGGCACGAAAGCGUGGGGAUCAAACAGGAUUAGAUACCCUGGUAGUCCACGCCGUAAACUAUGAUUACUCGUUGUUGGCAAUACAUCGUCAGCGACCAAGCGAAAGCGAUAAGUAAUCCACCUGGGGAGUACGCUCGCAAGAGUGAAACUCAAAGGAAUUGACGGGGGCCCG